AGUGAACGCUGGCGGUAGGCCUAACACAUGCAAGUCGAACGGCAGCACAGUAAGAGCUUGCUCUUACGGGUGGCGAGUGGCGGACGGGUGAGGAAUACAUCGGAAUCUACUUUUUCGUGGGGGAUAACGUAGGGAAACUUACGCUAAUACCGCAUACGACCUACGGGUGAAAGCAGGGGAUCUUCGGACCUUGCGCGAUUGAAUGAGCCGAUGUCGGAUUAGCUAGUUGGCGGGGUAAAGGCCCACCAAGGCGACGAUCCGUAGCUGGUCUGAGAGGAUGAUCAGCCACACUGGAAAUGAGACACGGUCCAGACUCCUACGGGAGGUAGCAGUGGGGAAUAUUGGACAAUGGGCGCAAGCCUGAUCCAGCCAUACCGCGUGGGUGAAGAAGGCCUUCGGGUUGUAAAGCCCUUUUGUUGGGAAAGAAAAGCAGCAGGUUAAUACCCCGCUGUUCUGACGGUACCCAAAGAAUAAGCACCGGCUAACUUCGUG
rnacentral:rRNA from 1 species